rnacentral:rRNA from 1 species
GUGAGGAAUAUUGGUCAAUGGACGCAAGUCUGAUCCAGCCAUGCCGCGUGAAGGAUGAAUGCCCUCUGGGUUGUAAACUUCUUUUAUAGGGGAAGAAAGAUACUUUUUUUAAGGUAGUUGACGGUACCCUAUGAAUAAGCACCGGCUAACUCCGUGCCAGCAGCCGCGGUAAUACGGAGGGUGCAAGCGUUAUCCGGAUUUACUGGGUUUAAAGGGUGCGUAGGCGGGCAUGUAAGUCAGUGGUGAAAUACCGGAGCUUAACUUCGGAACUGCCAUUGAUACUAUAUGUCUUGAAUAUUGUGGAGGUAAGCGGAAUAUGUCAUGUAGCGGUGAAAUGCAUAGAUAUGACAUAGAACACCGAUUGCGGAGGCAGCUUGCUACGCAAAUAUUGACGCUGAGGCACGAAAGCGUGGGGAUCAAACA